rnacentral:rRNA from 1 species
GACAGAGGUGCCAAGCGUUAGGCGGAAUCACUGGGCUUAAAGCGUGUGUAGGCGGGCGAUCAAGUACCUUGUGAAAUCCCACGGCUCAACCGUGGAACUGCUGGGUAUACUGGUUGUCUUGAGCCAGCUAGGGGCGAGCGGAACAGACGGUGGAGCGGUGAAAUGCGUAGAUAUCGUCUGGAACGCCGAAGGUGAAAACAGUCUGCUGGGGGUGUGCCGACGCUGAGACACGAAAGCCAGGGGAGCGAACGGG